rnacentral:misc_RNA from 1 species
UCCGGUUUGUCACCGGCAGUCCCUCUAGAGUGCCCAACUAAAUGUAGCAACUAGAGGCAAGGGUUGCGCUCGUUGCGGGACUUAACCCAACAUCUCACGACACGAGCUGACGACAGCCAUGCAGCACCUGUGUCCAGGCUCCCUUUCGGGCACUCUCGCGUCUCUGCGAGUUUCCUGGCAUGUCAAGGGUAGGUAAGGUUUUUCGCGUUGCAUCGAAUUAAUCCACAUCAUCCACCGCUUGUGCGGGCCCCCGUCAAUUCCUUUGAGUUUCAGUCUUGCGACCGUACUCCCCAGGCGGCGAACUUAACGCGUUAGCUUCGAUACUGCGUGCCAAAUUGCACCCAACAUCCAGUUCGCAUCGUUUAGGGCGUGGACUAC